rnacentral:misc_RNA from 1 species
GAGAGCCAGAGAGGUGCGCUGUACGACAGUUGGGGGAAGCGACGGUGGCAGCCACCUCCGCAACGGCUCGCAGUCUAUUUUUGACGUCGAACUAGUGUAGUUGUGUGCGCGGUCCUGUCUGCUUCAGCUUGAGGCCCCCGCCCUCACGCAACAGCUGUUCUGUGCCAGAACAAAGCUUCCCUUGGGCCAUCACGUGACCGCAACCGCCGGAACACCUGGAAAAAGGCGGCAAUAGAGUUAUAUGCUUCUGGGAAAAUGUUGGUUAUGACACAAUGAGAGACCAGACCUGUUGCUACGCUGUGCCUAGGUCAUUUUGUACCUCACCCAUAUAACGGUGUCUAGUCCCUGUCCCGACGCUCCCCGGGGCCGCCAGAGGUGAAAGAGGGAAAGCAAGGUUAAACCAAAAGUGACUAGGUCGAAGUCGCGAGCGGUAGUAUUAUUUUCUACGGGCUUCCUUCUCCCCAUUUCGCCGCCGCCAUCCCGGGACGUGUAGAAUGCCCGAUAAUUUCGUCUCUCGAUGGAGGAUUAGUUUAUGCCACAGAGAGUCAUUCAGCCACAGUUUUGCAGACCAAGAAAAGGAAGCAGACAUCAUCUAGGAUGACUAUCUCUUUACAUGCACAGACAAAGCCAGUCAGGAGCCCAAGCACGCCUGUGCCGGAGCAAGCUAGGUGUGCGUGAUGUGUGCCCCCGGGACUGAAUCUCGCACAGCGCCGCUCCAGAGUACCCGCAUCCCAUCGCUCACCACACGCUUUGCGCGCAGGUGAGGGUCGCUGAGCACCCAUGUUGGUGCACAACGGGACGGACAACACCCUCGGGGGCCCCGCCCUCACCAAGGUGGCACGGGUGGAUGGCGUGUUGGGCGGACCCAUCUUUACCACGACUGCCACCAGCGCUGCCACCACCGCCGCCACCGCCGUUGCCGCUACAACCGCGACCACCACAGCCGCCGCCGUCGCAGCCCUUCAGCACCACCACGCCGAAGCGAACUUCACCCUCGGGACACUGUAUAAUGACUCGGGAGGCAGCGACGCCGGCGGGGGAGAAGGGGCAGGAGUGGGAGGGCGCCUAGGGGGGCUAGAAACCGACUUCUCGUGGGCGGAAGGACUCAACGACUCCCUGGCCGCCACCGUGACGGGCUUGCUCAUGGGCAACGUGACGGACGAGGGCGUCGCUGCCGAGAACGUGACGGCGGCCGAGAGGAUCGUCUACUGCAAGGAAUGGACGGGCGCCACGCUCACGCUUUUCCAGGUGGCCAACUUCUUCUGCCUGCUGGCCUUCCUAGUCCCUCACAACUUCCGGCUGUCGGCGCUGGUGAUGCGAGCGGUCCUGAGCGUCGGGAUCCUCCUGUUCGCGCUGUGGGCGGCCCUGGAUAUCUGCGCGGCCGACAUCUUCGCCUGGAACCUGAGCUUCCUCGUGGUCAACGCGGCCCAUGUCCUGCACCUGACGUAUACUGUGUGGCCGCCUCGGGUGCACCAGGACCUCGCCGACCUCUACGCCAAGGUCUUCAAGCCCCUCAGGGUGAACCGGCAGAACUUCAGCGCGCUAGUGAAGGAGGCGACGCUGAUGAGGCUGGAGGUGGGCGAUACGUACGCGGUGGAGGACGCGACGGCAGCCGACGAGCGCCUCUCGAUUCUCCUGUCGGGCAAGCUGAGAGUGAGCUGCGACAACACCCACCUGCACAACAUUCUGCCGACGCAUUUCAUCGACUCGCCUGAGUGGGAGGCCUGCGCCGACGACUCCGACGAACUCUUUCAGGUGACCAUCGUGGCUGAGGAGCCGAGUGAGUACCUGUGCUGGUCGCGGCCCCGCCUGCGACACGUGCUGCACCUGCGGCCCUUCCUCCGCGCCGUCAUGCACAACCUUAUAGGUAAGGACAUUACCACCAAGCUGUACUCGCAGCACGAGCAGCUGGGCGUGGACGGCACCGGCGAGGCGGUGGGCGCGCGGGCGGGUGCGGGCGGCCUUGGAGCAGAGGACGUCUGGCGGGGCGCCGUGCAGCGCUCCAUGAGUGUCGACAACGUCCACACUGGUACUAAGGGCUUCGUCAGGUCCUUAGCAUGGCGCACCUCUCACAGACGCACCUCAGGGCCGUACAGCGAGAGUGUCCGUUCCUCGCCUGGGAGGUCCCGGGGGUCACACGCCUCCGCCCCGGUGCUCAAGGACGCGCAGUGGGGAGGGGCCCGCCAGCACCCGAGCUCGGGCCACCGCCUUCUGCCAACGCACUCGCCAGGCUUAGAGGCACCUUCGGCAGGAGCGGCAGUGCCAGGAGGGGCUGCGCCGCCGGAGGGGGACGCAGAAGGGACUCGCGGCGGAGGGAAGCAGCGCACCUCCCGGGAGAACGUGGUGAGGUGCGUGGCGGCUCAGGGCACUCCCCAGGUCCUCUCCGCCGACGCUCUCGACGACCCCGACCUUCUGGAGACUUCCGUCUGACCUCCUGCCUGCCUGCCUCUCUGUCUGCCUGCUUGGUGCCUGCCUGCCUGCCUGCCUGCCCUACAGCCAUCGUUAGACCAGUAGCCAGCAGAAGCAGGUGUCCCGGCUGGUAGUGAAUGAUAGCCUGGUAGUGUCGGGACUCUGCAUGUGGUCGCAAGGGCGCGUCCAGCUACGCCUCGCCCCUGGAGUUGCUCUCUCUGGCGGCCUUCCAUGCAGGGGCUUAUCCUGUGCCUUCCGCCGGUUCCUGGGCGUGCCAGAUUCGUGAGGCAGUGACCCGCCGCACCCGCACCCACUUCAUUUGUUGUUCUACCCGGAGACUGUGAAAUACCACCGCUGCCACCAAUUUGCAGCACAUGUGACGUCUUCUAUACUAGGAUGCCCCUCACCUUUCCAUCUACCCAUCCCAUUGCUAGUAUCACCUACUUGUACGAAAAUGGACUAGAUAUGUGCCCUGCCUUUUCUCUAUUCUUAUUUCCUCUUUCACUCACCUUUCCCUCUUUCUCCACCUCUCUAUGCUUGUCUUUCUCUCACUUGCAUUCAACCUUCAGCAUCCUUUAGCUGUUAGUGGAUGUUGUGCUUCCUUCUUCUAAGAUGAUGACAACAGUAGUGUUGUUGUUUACCUGUUAUGCUUCCAUCCACUACAACUUCUACCGUGCCGCUACACUGUGAUAAUGUCCAACUUCUACACAUAUUGCUUCAGGAAACUGUUCAAGUCUCCAUCCACAAGUCCUACAAAAGUAUCUUUUAAGUACUCUGGGAACGUGCUGCCUCUCCAUUCACAUUCCACAGAUGUUACAAGAAUGUGUCCCUUUCCAGAAUCUAGACAUGUGCCAGGAAAGUGUUGUGCCCCAAUGCAGUACUUAAGACCUUUGCCAAAAAUAUAUUGUGCCCUUCA